rnacentral:rRNA from 1 species
CCUACGGGAGGCAGCAGUGAGGAAUAUUGGUCAAUGGCCGGAAGGCUGAACCAGCCAUGCCGCGUGAAGGUCAGUGCCCUAUGGGCGUUAAACUUCUUUUGUGCGGGAGCAAUAAUGGUCACGUGUGGCCAGACGAGAGUACCGUACGAAUAAGCAUCGGCUAACUCCGUGCCAGCAGCCGCGGUAAUACGGGGGAUGCAAGCGUUAUCCGGAUUUAUUGGGUUUAAAGGGUGCGUAGGCUGUGAGGUAAGUCAGCGGUGAAAUGCCCCCGCUCAACGGGGUGAAGUGCCAUUGAUACUGCCUUGCUGGAAUGCGGAUGCCGUGGGAGGAAUGUGUGGUGUAGCGGUGAAAUGCAUAGAUAUCACGAGGAACCCCGAUUGCGAAGGCAGCCUGCCGGGGUGCGACUGACGCUGAGGCUCGAAGGUGCGGGUAUCAAACAGGAUUAGAUACCCGGGUAGUC